GCCGGCGAGUGGCGAACGGGUGAGUAAUGCAUCGGAACGCACCCGAGAGUGGGGGAUAACCAGCCGAAAGGCUGGCUAAUACCGCAUGAUCUCGAAAGAGCAAAGCGGGGGACCUUCGGGCCUCGCGCUCUCGGAGCGGCCGAUGUCCGAUUAGCUCGUUGGUGAGGUAAAGGCUCACCAAGGCGACGAUCGGUAGCGGGUCUGAGAGGACGAUCCGCCACACUGGGACUGAGACACGGCCCAGACUCCUACGGGAGGCAGCAGUGGGGAAUCUUGGACAAUGGGCGCAAGCCUGAUCCAGCAAUGCCGCGUGGGUGAAGAAGGCCUUCGGGUUGUAAAGCCCUUUCGGCGGGGAAGAAAACGGCCGGGCGAAUAGUCCGGUCGGAUGACGGUACCCGCAGAAGAAGCACCGGCUAACUACGUGCCAGCCGCCGCGGUAAUUCA
rnacentral:rRNA from 1 species